AUGUAACCAAAGAUAAAUAUGAGGUAAUUUUAUAUCCAAUUGUGGAAUCCAUAAUACCAGAAAACUUUUUGAUUGCAUAUAAUAGGUCAAAUUUAUCUACAAAACGACUGGCACAUCUUCUAGAUUUUCUUAAACGUGAGGUUGAAUCCGAGGAAAAUAUCCGUAUGGCAAGGGCUAAUUACACUUUUACAGAUAUGACAACAUCUCAACAGAACACGAACCAAGAAUUAAUUCCAACGGCGGCGUGCAUUGUCUCCAAUGUAAGCAAAGAAAGGCAUACACAAGACAUUGAUAGUAACAGUCAGCUAUAAUGGGAGAAACAUGAAAGUUAGAGCGUUGUUGGACAGCGGUUCGCAAAGGUCGUACGUCAAGAGUUCGGUAGCAAAAGAAUUGAAGCUAGAGAAGGUAGGAACAGAAAACAUUAAACACACAUUGUUCGGAGGUACCACGGGACCCGCUCGAGUCUACAAUCAGAGAAAGUUAAACUAAAUGAAGAUGGCCGCUAUGAAGUAUCUCUGUUAUGGAAGGAAGGGUGUCCAGAGCCUGACGCAAACUACGACGUAGCGCAAAAACGACUGCAGAGCACUACGAGAAAACUUAUAAAAACAGGGACUAUCCACGGCAGAGACACCUGAUUUAGACGUAAUCGAUGCUCACAAUAUGAACAUCAGAUUGCGCUACCUGCAGACCCUGCGGACGGAGUUUCGACAGAGAUUUAGAAAUGAAUAUAUUUCGUUACUUAUUAGCAAGAACAAAGGUAAGUCGAAAUUCCCGUCGGUAGGCGACGUUGUCUUGAUACAGACUGAUGCAGGUCGUCUCUAUUGGCCUCUUGGCAUAAUAAAAGAAUUGGUUACAGGUAACGACGGCAUAACAAGAGUCGCGAAAGUACAGACUGCGAUGGGAGAGAAGAUAAGAAGUUGUCAACGCCUCUACCCAUUAGAAUUGUCGGCAGUCACAGACGAGUGGCAUACACCUACUGUCCCUAAGCAAGGUGAGCCCGACAGUGCUGACUUGCGGGCUGGAUCUAGCUGUGUUCUAGACCCAACUGCAAACUCUCACAUUGACGAGACACCCGCGAUAACAGUGGGUGAUGAGUCACACCCCUCGUCUACCACUACAAGACACGGUAGAGUCGUUAAGCUCCCACGCAGAUUUUUGGACUGAAUAUGUGGUAUGUAGAUCCCUUUCUAAUGUGUAAUAAGCAUAUUGACUUGCCUAUAAAUUUGGUAAAUAACAAAUUUGGUGAAUUUGGACUGUGCCAGUGGUUUUGUUCUUGAAUUGUCUACGUGACGAGUGA